rnacentral:rRNA from 1 species
CCCGGUUUAAGCGUGUAGGGGGUGUGACCUGGUAAAUCCGGUUGCAUAUCAACCCUGAGGCGUGAUGACGAUGCACUACGGUGCAGAAGUAGUUGAUGCCCUGCUUCCAGGAAAAGCCUCUAAGCUCCAGGUAACAUUGAAUCGUACCCCAAACCGACACAGGUGGUCAGGUAGAGAAUACCAAGGCGCUUGAGAGAACUCGGGUGAAGGAACUAGGCAAAAUGGUGCCGUAACUUCGGGAGAAGGCACGCUGGCAUGUAGGUGAA